rnacentral:RNase_P_RNA from 1 species
CAAGUAAGCUGGACAGCCGCGUGGGCAGGUCGAAAGGCCGUUCAUGAGGAAAGUCCGGGCUCCGUAGGGCAAGGAUAACGGGUAACGCCCGCCGAAGGCGACUUCAGGAAAAGUGCAACAGAGAUAUACCGCCUUAGUCUAGUAUGGCCCUCGAAAGAGGGGCGGUGGCUAAGGUAAGGGUGGAAAGGCGGAGAUAAGCGCCCGCCCGAUGACUGGGAACUGCUCAUCGCUGUAAACUCUAUCCGGAGCAACACCGUGGAAACGCACACAAAGCCGGCCCGGCUGCGUUGAGGAGGUGGCUGGAGCGUAGUGGCAACGCUGCGCCUAGAUAGAUGGCUGUCUUAAAGGACAGAACCCGGCUUAUAGGCUCACUUGUACC